rnacentral:lncRNA from 1 species
AUGAAAGAAGUGUCCCUCCCUCAUCUUAGAUACUGUCCUGUACAGGAGGAGGUGAAAACAGAUGGACGUUGGCCACACACCAGCAAAAGAAGUUUGCUAAUUUCUGUCACAUGCAUUAUGUCAAGAGUGAAAUUAAUAUCAGCUAUAGCAUUUGAGUACCAGUUAAUUCUCAUCCUUCUGAUGAAAAUGCUCAAAAAGAAAGGAACUGAGAGGAAGGAAACCUCCAUCUGUUGAGAAGAAAAAAAGAUUUCAGUGUAAAUGAAGAGUAGUUUCAUAGCAGUCUCUGGCUGGUGACUUGAGAAUGGCAGGGCUGAUACAUCUGCAAAGGUAAAAAAAACAACCUUGUGAGUGACAGCAGAAAAAAUUCCUGACAGAAUACUGAGGCAUUUCUACCUGUCCUUAAGAUCUGGUCAAUAUAUUUUUCUAAACAAAACCAACUUGAUGCUAAGGUUAGUGGAAAACUUUUUGAUAUGUAGAAAUACACGUGUACACACGCAAGCACUUUGUAUUUACAACAAAACACUUCUAUUAUUAUGGAAAUAAAUAUGUUACAUCCUCCUAUGGCA